GACGAACCGUGCGAACGUUGUUCGGAAUCACUGGGCUUAAAGGGCGCGUAGGCGGCUUGCCAAGUCAGGGGUGAAAUCCUGCAGCUUAACUGUAGAAGGGCCUUUGAUACUGGCGAGCUCGAGGGAGGUAGGGGUAUGUGGAACUUCCGGUGGAGCGGUGAAAUGCGUUGAUAUCGGAAGGAACGCCGGUGGCGAAAGCGACGGACUGGAUCUCUUCUGACGCUGAGGCGCGAAAGCCAGGGGAGCAAACGGG
rnacentral:rRNA from 1 species